rnacentral:rRNA from 1 species
GAUGAACGCUGGCGGCGUGCCUAAUACAUGCAAGUCGAGCGAACGGACGAGAAGCUUGCUUCUCUGAUGUUAGCGGCGGACGGGUGAGUAACACGUGGAUAACCUACCUAUAAGACUGGGAUAACUUCGGGAAACCGGAGCUAAUACCGGAUAAUAUUUUGAACCGCAUGGUUCAAAAGUGAAAGACGGUCUUGCUGUCACUUAUAGAUGGAUCCGCGCUGCAUUAGCUAGUUGGUAAGGUAACGGCUUACCAAGGCAACGAUGCAUAGCCGACCUGAGAGGGUGAUCGGCCACACUGGAACUGAGACACGGUCCAGACUCCUACGGGAGGCAGCAGUAGGGAAUCUUCCGCAAUGGGCGAAAGCCUGACGGAGCAACGCCGCGUGAGUGAUGAAGGUCUUCGGAUCGUAAAACUCUGUUAUUAGGGAAGAACAUAUGUGUAAGUAACUGUGCACAUCUUGACGGUGCCUAAUCAGAAAGCCACGGCUAACUACGUGCCAGCAGCCGCGGUAAUACGUAGGUGGCAAGCGUUAUCCGGAAUUAUUGGGCGUAAAGCGCGCGUAGGCGGUUUUUUAGUCUGAUGUGAAAGCCCACGGCUCACCCGUGGAGGGUCAUUGGAAACUGGAAAACUUGAGUGCAGAAGAGGAAAGUGGAACUCCAUGUGUAGCGGUGAAAUGCGCAGAGAUAUGGAGGAACACCAGUGGCGAAGGCGACUUUCUGGUCUGUAACUGACGCUGAUGUGCGAAAGCGUGGGGAUCAAACAGGAUUAGAUACCCUGGUAGUCCACGCCGUAAACGAUGAGUGCUAAGUGUUAGGGGGUUUCCGCCCCUUAGUGCUGCAGCUAACGCAUUAAGCACUCCGCCUGGGGAGUACGACCGCAAGGUUGAAACUCAAAGGAAUUGACGGGGACCCGCACAAGCGGUGGAGCAUGUGGUUUAAUUCGAAGCAACGCGAAGAACCUUACCAAAUCUUGACAUCCUUUGACAACUCUAGAGAUAGAGCCUUCCCCUUCGGGGGACAAAGUGACAGGUGGUGCAUGGUUGUCGUCAGCUCGUGUCGUGAGAUGUUGGGUUAAGUCCCGCAACGAGCGCAACCCUUAAGCUUAGUUGCCAUCAUUAAGUUGGGCACUCUAAGUUGACUGCCGGUGACAAACCGGAGGAAGGUGGGGAUGACGUCAAAUCAUCAUGCCCCUUAUGAUUUGGGCUACACACGUGCUACAAUGGACAAUACAAAGGGCAGCGAAACCGCGAGGUCAAGCAAAUCCCAUAAAGUUGUUCUCAGUUCGGAUUGUAGUCUGCAACUCGACUACAUGAAGCUGGAAUCGCUAGUAAUCGUAGAUCAGCAUGCUACGGUGAAUACGUUCCCGGGUCU